GACGAACGCCGGCGGCGUGCUUAACACAUGCAAGUCGAGCGAUGAAGUUCCUUCGGGAAUGGAUUAGCGGCGGACGGGUGAGUAACACGUGGGUAACCUGCCUCAUAGAGGGGAAUAGCCUUUCGAAAGGAAGAUUAAUACCGCAUAAGAUUGUAGUACCGCAUGGUACAGCAAUUAAAGGAGUAAUCCGCUAUGAGAUGGACCCGCGUCGCAUUAGCUAGUUGGUGAGGUAACGGCUCACCAAGGCGACGAUGCGUAGCCGACCUGAGAGGGUGAUCGGCCACAUUGGGACUGAGACACGGCCCAGACUCCUACGGGAGGCAGCAGUGGGGAAUAUUGCACAAUGGGGGAAACCCUGAUGCAGCAACGCCGCGUGAGUGAUGACGGUCUUCGGAUUGUAAAGCUCUGUCUUCAGGGACGAUAAUGACGGUACCUGAGGAGGAAGCCACGGCUAACUACGAGCCAGCAGCCGCCGUAA
rnacentral:rRNA from 1 species